CCUCAAAUCAAAUGCAUUGGAUGGAUGCCUCGGCAGAAAGGAAAAGAAGGGACGAACUAAAUCUCGAAAAGCCGUAGAACAGGUGAUGCCCUAAAACCUACGGAUCUCCCAUCGGGAAACCGCAUGCGUCGAUCAGAAACCAAAAGGUGGAAUGUUCGACAGACUACUUGGCCAACUGAAACAUCUAAGUAACCAAAGGAAAAAGAAAUCAACCGAGACUCCGUAAGUAGUGGCGAGCGAACGCGGACAUUGCUAGCUCUUAUUCAACCCCUUAAGAGGCUGAGAAGCCUUGCCAUAGAAGGUCAUAGCCCUGUAAGGGUUGAAUAUUCUGAAGAUUUACCAAUCUUGAAUGAGCAAAGAGCCCAUCCCCAUAGGGGAUUGGAGCUCAUUUUAUUUGAGGGGGGACCACCCUCCAAGCAAAGUAAUCCUUCUGACCUAUAGUGCAAUAGUACCGCGAGGGAAAGGUGAAAAAAACUCUGGAAAGAGGGUGAAAAGAUCUGAAAUCCAAUGCAGACAAUCAGUUGAAGGCAAUUGCCAUAUUGGGCAGUGCAUGAGUGAGAGCCAGGAUUGGCUUGAAUCCAUUCUCAAUUGCUUACAGCGUACCUUUUGUAUAAUGGGUCAGCGAGUCAAUCUUUACAGCAAGCUUAAGCUCUAAAGUGUAGGCGCAAUGAGAAACCAUACCAGUUGUAAGGAUUGGACCCGAAAUCGAUUGAGCUAGCCAUGGGCAGGUUGAAGCGGCGCCCGACAGCACGUGGAAGACCGAAUUCGUUACUGUGGCAAAAGUAUGAAAUGACCUGUGGCUAGGGGUGAAAGGCCUAUCAAAAUCGAAGAUAGCUGGUUUUUUGCGAAAUCUAUUUAGGUAGAGCGUUCUUCAGCAAUCGUGUUUGUAGGGGGUAGAGCACUCGAUGGGCUAGGGUGGCCCAAAGCUUGACCGAUCCCAAGGAAACUCCGAAUACCUACAAACAAUAGAGUGCCCUAUUCUCCUAAAAGAAGCUUGGUAACUUCUUAUUGCUAUGAGUUCCAAUCCCCUAAAGGGAUAUUCAUUUCAAUUCAAGAGAGAAUAGAGGCCAUACGCUGAAAGCAGACAGACUUUGGGUGAUAAGGUCCAAGGUCAAAAGGGAAACAGCCCAGAUCGUAUGCUAAGGUCCCAAAGCAAUCACUUAGUGGAAAAGGUGGUCGCUAGGCGAUUACAACCGGGAGGUGGGCUUGGAAGCAGCCAUCCUAUUAUGACAGCGUAACAGCUCACUGGUCUAGCUUAGCGGCGCCUAAAAUGAACCGGGGCUCAAGUGAUUCACCGAAGCAACGAAAUUGAAUCGAGGGAGCUGAUACGAUUUUGAAGAAUUGUACCGAUCUGCGACCCCAUUCAAUUGGUAGCAAAACGUUCUAUAAGCCCUGUGAAGGCAACUCGUAAGAGAUGCUGGAGGCAUUAGAAGUGAGAAUGCUGACAUAAGUAACGAUUAAUAAUGUGCAAAGCAUUAUCGCCGAAAGUUCAAGGGUUUCAUUGUUCAGUCAAUCUGCAAUGAGUCAAUAAGGCCCCUAAGUUUCAUGCUGAAGAGCAUUGAUCGAUGGGUAGGCUGGGAGCGACGAAGAGAUCGCUGAUGGGGCUAUUGCCCCCUGCUUCGCUCCACUCCUCUCUGGGGAGUGGGGCUCUGCGCUCAAUCAUCUUUCUGAUACAGAACACGCGGCAAUCGCGCCUUGCAGGAGUGAUUUGAUUCGAGACAAUCCUUUUCCUAGAAACAACUCCAGCCACAACUAUACCUUACCCCAAACCGACACAGGUGAACAAGUAGAGAAUACUAAGGCGUUGGGACAAUCACCUUGAAGGAACUCGGCAAAAUCACUCCGUAACUUCGGGAGAAGGAGGGCUCUCAAGAGAGAGUGGCACAGAAUAGGGGGUGGCGGCUGUUUAUUAAAAACACAGGACUCUGCAAAGUACCAAUACCAUGUAUAGAGUCUGACACCUGCCCGGUGCUGUAAGGUGAAUAGGAGAGGUAAGUAUGCUUCGAAUGAAAGCCCCAGUAAACGGCGGCAGUAACUCUAACUGUCCUAAGGUAGCGAAAUUCCUUGACGUAUAAUUAACGUCCUGCAUGAAUGGUGUCACGACUGCCCCGCUGUCUCCAAGGUGAGCCCAGUGAAUUUGAAUUCUCCGUGAAGAUGCGGAGUACCCGCGGUUAGACGGAAAGACCCCGUGCACCUUUACUGCAGCUUUGCGCUGGCAUUCGUGUCGGCAUGUGUAGGAUAGGUGGUAGACUUUGAAGCCGGGGCGCCAGCUCUGGUGGAGUCAUCCUUGAAAUACCACCCUUAUCGUCAUGGAUGUCUAACCGCGACCCGUAAGCCGGGUCCGAGACAGCGCAUGGCAGGCAGUUUGACUGGGGCGGUCGCCUCCCAAAGAGUAACGGAGGCGUGCGAAGGUGGGCUCAGAGCGGUCGGAAAUCGCUCGUUGAGUGCAAUGGCAUAAGCCUGCCUGACUGCGAGACUGACAAGUCGAGCAGAUGCGAAAGCAGGACAUAGUGAUCCGGUGGUUCUGUAUGGAAGGGCCAUCGCUCAACGGAUAAAAGGUACUCUGGGGAUAACAGGCUGAUACCGCCCAAGAGUUCAUAUCGACGGCGGUGUUUGGCACCUCGAUGUCGGCUCAUCUCAUCCUGGGGCUGUAGCCGGUCCCAAGGGUAUGGCUGUUCGCCAUUUAAAGAGGUACGUGAGCUGGGUUUAAAACGUCGUGAGACAGUUUGGUCCCUAUCUUCCGUGGGCGCUGCAGAUUUGAGGAAGCCUGCUCCUAGUACGAGAGGACCGGAGUGGACGCACCUCUGGUGUACCGGUUGUCACGCCAGUGGCAUUGCCGGGUAGCUAAGUGCGGAAGAGAUAACCGCUGAAAGCAUCUAAGCGGGAAACUCGUUCCAAGAUGAGAUCUGCCGGGGCCUUGAGCCCCCUAAAGAGUCGUUCAAGACCAGGACGUUGAUAGGUCAGGUGUGGAAGCGCAGUAAUGCGUUAAGCUAACUGAUACUA
rnacentral:rRNA from 1 species